AUGCAGUCGCACGGACCUUUCGGGGUGAGUGGCGGACGGGUGAGUAUCGCGUAGGGAUCUAUCCAUGGGUGGGGGAUAACAUCGGGAAACUGGUGCUAAUACCGCAUGAUACCUGAGGGUCAAAGGCGCAAGUCGCCUGUGGAGGAGCCUGCGUUCGAUUAGCUUGUUGGUGGGGUAAAGGCCUACCAAGGCGAUGAUCGAUAGCUGGUCUGAGAGGAUGAUCAGCCACACUGGGACUGAGACACGGCCCAGACUCCUACGGGAGGCAGCAGUGGGGAAUAUUGGACAAUGGGCGAAAGCCUGAUCCAGCAAUGCCGCGUGUGUGAAGAAGGUCUUCGGAUUGUAAAGCACUUUCGACGGGGACGAUGAUGACGGUACCCGUAGAAGAAGCCCCGGCUAACUUCGUGCCAGCAGCCGCGGUAAUACGAAGGGGGCUAGCGUUGCUCGGAAUGACUGGGCGUAAAGGGCGCGUAGGCGGUUUACACAGUCAGAUGUGAAAUUCCAGGGCUUAACCUUGGGGCUGCAUUUGAUACGUGUAGACUAGAGUGUGAGAGAGGGUUGUGGAAUUCCCAGUGUAGAGGUGAAAUUCGUAGAUAUUGGGAAGAACACCGGUGGCGAAGGCGGCAACCUGGCUCAUUACUGACGCUGAGGC
rnacentral:rRNA from 1 species